rnacentral:rRNA from 1 species
AUUGAAUGCUGGCGGCAUGCCUUACACAUGCAAGUCGAACGGCAGCACGGGUGCUUGCACCUGGUGGCGAGUGGCGAACGGGUGAGUAAUACAUCGGAACGUACCUUAUCGUGGGGGAUAACGCAGCGAAAGUUGCGCUAAUACCGCAUACGCCCUGAGGGGGAAAGCGGGGGACCGUAAGGCCUCGCGCGAUUAGAGCGGCCGAUGUCUGAUUAGCUUGUUGGUGAGGUAAAAGCUAACCAAGGCGAUGAUCAGUAGCUGGUCGGAGAGGACGAUCAGCCACACUGGGACUGAGACACGGCCCAGACUCCUACGGGAGGCAGCAGUGGGGAAUUUUGGACAAUGGGGGCAACCCCGAUCCAGCAAUGCCGCGUGAGUGAAGAAGGCCUUCGGGUUGUAAAGCUCUUUUGUCAGGGAAGAAACAGCAGCUCUAACACAGUCUGCGAAUGACGGUACCUGAAGAAUAAGCACCGGCUAACUACGUGCCAGCCGCCGCCGUAA